CGAGGUUGAUAGGUCAGGUGUGCAAGCACAGUAAUGUGUUGAGCUUACUGAUACUAAUCGGUCGUGAGGCUUGACCAU
rnacentral:ncRNA from 1 species